GAAGGGUCUGCAGGUGCGGGGGCCGCCCCGCACCUGUCCAGCACCAGCCCAGUCCUGUCCGGUCCUGAGCAAGAGGAGGAGGCCUGUCACCACCCCCCGCACCGGGGCAGCUGGACCCCUCAGCCGUCCUCAAGUCAAUCGAUUAAUCAAUCAAUCACUAGGGCAUGCUGCUUCUCACCCGCUCCCUGACCCAGCCAGGCUAUUAUCCGGGCCCAGACCACCAGCAGCGGGAAGGAGGGAUUUUCUCAGGAUGGCACUGAUGUGCUUCAGUGUCCUCAUUUGACAUUGGCUGCUGUUUUAAAAGGCAAAUUAAAGACGCUGGAAAAGAAGGAGCCAGAUAAAACAAAACUCAGAACCGUUCUAGAGGAAUGGAGUAGCUGAUAGUAAUGACUUCAAGGCCGGCUCUGCUCUUCAACAACGAAAAAAAAGCAAGGACUAGGCGAAUUGAGAAAGCUUUCAUUCACUGAAGUGGAAAGGAAAAUAAAUUAAGUCUUUUAACCUCCAAGUGAGGGGUUUACUUGUGUAAUCCAGGAGAAAAUAGGUUUUGUUGCCUGAAUGAUCUUCUUGAAUAAUCUACUUUUAUCCAUUUUGCUGUAGUUUAUGACUAAAGAGAAUCCCAACGACCAAAUCUUUCCUUAAGCAAAGGUAUAUAUUGUUCCUCAGGGAAAUGUUGCCCUAGAUUUAAUAUGCUGACUGCUUAUGUUUACCACCAAAGUGUUAACUAGUAUUCAUGUUCAGUUUGCAGUGUUCAAAGCACCAUCCCAGAAAAGACAUUUUUAAGAUAAAAAUAAUCUGAAGAAAUGAUUUUAGACAAUUAAAGUAUAGCAUUUCAAAACUUCAUUUAUUUCAUGGAUUUCAUGACAAUAUUUCAUUUGUGUUUUAGGACAUUUUUUCUUUCUAGCUGUCAUGACUUUUCACAGUCCCAUCACUAGACCUCACAACACUGCAAGGCCAAUGUUUAAAUAACCUCUCUUGUUCCCAUUAAUUCACUAUAAAAAAAGCUCCAUAAAAACAUUUCUGUUGAUAUUAGUUUUUGUAAACCUUGGCCUUUGCUUUUUUAUUCUCCAAAACUAAACUUGGAGCACUGACUAAU